rnacentral:rRNA from 1 species
GUGGGGAAUCUUAGACAAUGGGCGCAAGCCUGAUCUAGCCAUGCCGCGUGAGCGAUGAAGGCCUUAGGGUUGUAAAGCUCUUUCAGUGGGGAAGAUAAUGACUGUACCCACAGAAGAAGCCCCGGCUAACUCCGUGCCAGCAGCCGCGGUAAUACGGAGGGGGCUAGCGUUGUUCGGAAUUACUGGGCGUAAAGCGCACGUAGGCGGACUGGAAAGUCAGGGGUGAAAUCCCGGGGCUCAACCCCGGAACUGCCUUUGAAACUCCCAGUCUUGAGGUCGAGAGAGGUGAGUGGAAUUCCGAGUGUAGAGGUGAAAUUCGUAGAUAUUCGGAGGAACACCAGUGGCGAAGGCGGCUCACUGGCUCGAUACUGACGCUGAGGUGCGAAAGCGUGGGGAGCAAACAGGAUUAGAUACCCCGGUAGUCC